ACACGAAUAAAAUGUGUAUUCGGCUGCAUUUGCGGUGUUAUGUAAAUGCUGAUUAAUUCCUGUUGGUUAACAGUGUUGUUGUGUCCACAGAAGCAUUGGAGAAAGACUGUAACCUGAGGUGAUAGGCUUUGAUUGUGUCCUGGCUUAGUAUGAUGGGACACACCUCUGCUUGCUUACUUUCCUUUGGACAACCCUCAGCCCCUCAGUCUCUACAUCACCUCAACAUUGCCGCCCACAGGCCAGAGUGUCUACAUGAGUGCCGCCAUACUGGCGGUCAGCCUAAGCCGCAGAAACAGGAGUGUGUUUGGCAAAGCGCCAUGUUGACUACUGGCAACCUUUGGCCACGAAGACUGCUGAGCAUGCACACACCCAGGCAGCACUGUAAGAAGUACCUCUAGGCCUGGGAGGCAUUGAGAAAAAGGAAGUGGGUCCUGUUCUGGUUCUUGCUACUGUAGUCACCGCCCGAGGCAAAUGACCACUGUCCUGAGAGGACGUGGAUGAGGGCAGGGAAAUGCAAGGAAGGGUUGUCUGUGUGACUCCAACCUGGCUGUCCCCAGUCCCUGCUCCUCCGCUCAAGGAACACCUAGGCUCAGGCCCACAGGCGCCUCUGAGCUGCCAGUAGGAUUCUGCUUUGGAUGAGAAUGGAGAGGAGGCCAAGGGAACUGAAGCCUGAGAAGUGGGUCUCAUCUUGACCUAUGCAAUUGGGCUUGGGCGUGCAAGGAAUCGCCUCCCAACAAGCCACUGCCAGGUCAGUAGGUGCGCUCUGUGUGAGAAACAGGAACUGGAGAGCAGAGACAACUGGUCGCAUCAGCUCCACAUUUAGGGAAAAGAUUUGUUUUAGGUUCCAUUCCUCCUCAAACCUGAUGUUCGCCUUUCUGAAUAAAUGAGAGGACCGUGUGGGUGUGGGGGUUCCCAGUCUCUGGUGGGCUGUGUGCAUGUCUCCAUCCAUGCACCUCUGUUCCCUCCACAGACUUCACUGCAGGGUUAUGCUGUUCAUCCAACCAUCCAUCCACCUGCCUGCUGCAACGAGGGCAAGGCUUCCCAGUGCCAGCCCCUUGCUCCUGCUGCUGCAGGGGAAAUGAGCCUCAAGGCCCUUGCUUGACAAACCCCCCCCCCCGCCCCGCCAACCACACACACUUCCAGACACUGUGGUGCCCACAACAGAACCCUGGGGGCUUUUGAGGGACACCACACCUACCUUGGAAGAACUGGGCCUCUCAUCUCACCUGGGCGAACCUGGAUGCCUUCUUUUGCCUUCCUGCCUUUGUCAGUCUGUAUUUUACUACAGCCAAUUGCUGUUCCUCAUGGUGCCUGUAGAACCCUCCUUCCCGCAUACCACAAGCCCCUGGUCCUCAGGCAUCUCCAGGGUCCCGGGAGUCUUCCUGGGCUCUGGUGUGGACUGGAGUUGCAGCUUUGGUCUCACUCCACAUUUCCUGCAGGGAAGCAGAGGAAAGGGGAAGAAUUCCUUAGAAAAUGAGAGUGAAUUUCUCUUUGGAAGAACAGCUUUCCCCCCCCAUAGUCUCUGAUCAUCCUUAAGUAUUUAAAACAAACAAAUACACCCACACAGGCAUUUCCCAUCGUGAAGCUUAACUUCCUGCAAAUAUCUCUCAUGUUGCAUACACAUGAAAUUCAUGCACCUCAGCUGCACAGCCUUAUCAUAGUCAAUGUCUGAAUGUCUCAGUAGAGACCUUGAGGUACAUUUCAGUGUGUUUUGAUUGUCAGCCUUUGUGGACCCCUGUGCGCUCCUGCUUCCCUAAUUUCCGCAUGAGGAAAACGGAUGGGGGAAUACGGGCUGGCAGGGGAGUGCUGCGAGUGUGCAUCUGGUGGGCAAGAAAAAAUGAUCAUCCUGCUGACAAUCUUCCUUUGGACUUCAUAGUUAAUCUAGAAAUCUACUUGAAGAACAGUGGAAACAGUACAGAUUAUUGAUUCUAUGAACCCUUUGGUACACAUAAAUGCUUAGGCAUCCAAAUUUUAUAGUUAUUAUGCAAUUAUACAUACGGAUUAUAGGAAGACAAUUUUUUAUAUGAUAAAAAAGAUAAUCUUAGUUAUACCAACAGAGUUCUUGGAUAAAUUGUUCUUGUUGACUGGGCGCAGUGGCUCACGCCUGUAAUCCUAGCACUCUGGGAGGUUGAGGUGGGUGGAUCACCUGAGGUCAGGAGUUUGAGACCAGCCUGGCCAACAUAGUGAAACCCUGUCUCUACUAAAAAUACAAAAAUUAGCCAGGCGUGGUGGUAGGCGCCUGUAAUCCCAGCUACUCUGGAGGCUGAGGCAGGAGAAUUGCUUGAGCCUGGGAGGCGGACGGUGCAGUGAGCCAAGAUUGUGCCACCUCACUCCAGUCUGGGGGACAGAGUAAAUUUAUUUCCAAUUUGUACAUAUUUUCUAUCACAGAAGAAUUUGCUGCAUAGUUAACUCAGUAAUCACCAAAAUCAAACAAAUACAUCCUUAAUUAGUUGAACAAAGAUCUUUUAUUGGAGCUAUAACUCAAACUCAAGGCUACUGUAUUGCCAAAUAGCAAGUGGCUUAGGUGGAACUAAGAAACAGGAGCAUAGCAAGGAAACUGGUGGUUACAGUGGGAAGUUAGUUAUUCACUUUAUAUUUACUUAUGCAGCACUUAUGAAGGAUCAAGUACAGUGCUAAGUACCUUUAAAAUGGAAAUCUUCGAAUACUUAAAUAAUAAAAGCUGAAGCUUGGCAUAAAUAAUGUAUAACUGUAGGGUCUGAAGCACAAAGGGGCAUCACUAGCAUGUCUGGAAAAUAGAAUUACUGUUAGGCAUGAGUCAAACUGUAGCUCUGCAUUUUGAUGAAUCAUUCUUACUGGCAAGUUCCUACUGCAUUACUUUUCACCAAAACACAUUGUGCACUUACCAUUUCUGAAGAGGCCAUGCAUGUCAACUCUUUGCAGUUUCAAUCAAAUUUCUCCUUCUGCCUCUUCCCCAUAGUUCUACAGAACCUCUCAGCUAUGUGUCUUAGUCCAUACAGACUGCUAUAACAAAGCACCAUAAAUGGUGUUAUAGGACCAACGGAUGCAUAUGCCCGCUGUGCAAUAACAGAGCAGUUACACCGAGACAGCAAGAUUUGUAGCAGAGAAAGAGUUUAAUGAUCACAGGGAUGGAGCAAGGGAUGAGUGGAGACCCCCAAACCCAUCUUCCGGAGGAGUUCUGAGCUGGGGUUUUUAAGGAGAUUGUGGAGGGUGAGGGAUAGAAGAUUGAGGUUGUUGAUUGGUCAGGAUAAGGAGGAUGAAACCAUCAGGGUGUACAAGCUGUGUUCUUCGGUGAGUCAGCUCCUGUGGGGUCCUUCAGACCAGCUGGCAUCAGUGGUUCCAUUCGUAUGCAGGACCCAACAGAGUCCCUCACCUGGAAAACAUAACAUUUUAUAAUGUUCAAGUUGCUGCCUAUAGAGCAGUGAUGGGGACUGUAAUCUUUUGACGAGGUCUCUGUGACUCGGAGGCAAUUGGCACGAACAACUAUGAGGAAAGGGGUCAGAGAGCAGCUGCCCUCAUGGUUUACGCUGAACAUGCUGCAAGCUUAGCUUAUUUUCAUUUCUCCCUCUCCCCUCCUCCCUAAUUAAUUUUAUAACGUUUGUAGGGAUGGAUUCAACAGGGUGACUUAUAAACAACAGAAAUGUAUUUCUCACAUGUGGAGACCGAGAGGUCCAGGAUGGAGACACCAGCAGAUUUGGUGUCUGGUGGGGGCCUGCUUUCUGGUUCAUACAUGACUGACUUUUCUCUGUGUCCUUGUGUUGAGGAAGAAACAACUGAGCUCCCUUGGGCUUCUUUCAGAAGGGCACUAAUCGCGUUCGUGUGGACUCCACCCUCAUGCCCUAAUCACUUCCCAAAGGCCGCAACUUCUAAUACCAUCACCUUGGGGGUUAGGAUUUCAAUACAACAAUUUAGGAGGAACACAUACAUUCAGCACCUUGAUUCAAAGUUUAGUUCCCUAAAAACGUCCUUGUGGAGAAUUUCAGAGAACCCUAGAGUAAAUUUCCACAAGUGCAUCAUUCCAUUUCCCUUUGUAACUUCUGUUAAAUCACUUAGUGGCAUGGGCUUGGUGGCAGAGUCAUCUACUGUUAUGUCUAACUCUUUUAUGAUAUGGCAGAUCUCUGGAGAGCAGGAGCUAUUUUGGAUAAAACGUCUGUUCAGGUUCAAGCAGCAUAAAAGAACCUUGAGUUUCUGUGAACCUAGGCAUUUUCUUUUCCAGGCAAGGCCCUAUUAGGGUUGGAGACCUUUGAGAGAGACCCACAACAGAGACCCCUGCAGCAAUCCCUCCAAAGACCUACACAGAGACCCCAAAGAGAUACCCAGAGACCCACACAGGGAGCCCCAGAGACCCACAGAGACCUCCACAGAGAUCCCCAUGGAGACCCACACAAAAACCUCCACAGAGACCCCACAGAAAUUCACACAGAGACCUUCGGGAGAGACCCACACAGAGAUGCCCAGAAACUCACACAGAGAUCCACUAGUGACCCCCACACAGAUCUCCACAGAGAUCCACAUGGAGACCCCCCAGAGACCCAUACAGAGAUUCCCCCACAGAAAUCCACACAGUGACUCCCAGAGACCUGUAGAGACUUUUGAGAGAGGUGCUACAGAGACUUGAGAGAGACCCUUAGGGACUUAUAGAGACCCCCACAGAGAUCUCCCAGAGACCCAUGCAGCCACCUCCACAGAGAAUCCCAAAGAGACCCUGAGAAACCUACACAGAGACCUGUGAGAGAGGCCUCCACAGAGACUCACAUUGAGAGACCUCUGACUGAGACUCAAACCAAGAGGGAACUCGGAGACUUAGCACUGAGAGCUCCCCAAGGACUUCCUUCCAGGAGACCUGGAGAUGAGCACAAGGUCUUUCAUGCAGAGACCUCCCAUGGAGAGUGCGUCUCUCUGCACCACUCAGGCAUCUCCCAGAGCUCUCUUAGGAAGACAUCAUGCAGCCUCCUGGACCCUCCAGAAACCUCACAGACUCCCUCAGAGACCUCACAGGGAGUCCUCACACGAGAGACCUCCCUCACAGAACUUGCACAGAGACCUCCCCAGACACCUUGCACAGAGACACCAGGCAGUGACCUCCCACAGGGACCACACAUGGUCACCAGGUGCUCACACAGUGACCUCCCACACCACCACCUGAGCACAGACCCAUAGACCUCCUCACAGAAGCCUGGCCCAGAGCUCUACAGACUUCCAGAGAGUUCCCCACAGAACUCACCUCAGAACACACAGAGACCUCAUAUGGGAUCUCUCCCAGAGACCUGUCACUGAAGCCUCCCCGAUUAACACCUGGGGCCUGGAUCUCUUCUAACCAGCCACACCCACCGACCUUGGCUUCUGAUCCCUACAAGUCCAGCAGUAGAGGGGUGGGGGGAUGGAGUAGAAGGGCAAGAAAAACACCUGUGUUGGGCACUGGGCUGCCAGGAGCCCCUGAUGGUAGGGGCUCAGCCAGGACUUCGUAAGAGCAUUCUGUGCCACUGCCAGGGGACUUGCACCUGCCCUUCCUUGUCAGGGAAAGCACUUCCUCUGGCUGGUCCCCAUAGUUACCCUAUCAACCCCCUCAUCAUCAGGCAGUACCCUAUCUGUAGCCAUCCUCCUCCCCUUAGAUCCUGGCUUUGAAGCUGGGCCCGCUUUUGCUCUAACCUGGUGGUGGGGGAGCAGUUACUCCUAAUGCAGUCUCUCCCCUGCUGCUGCUGCUGCUGCUGGCACUUCAUCCUGCCCUAUCCUCCGGGAUGGCUGGAGGAUGUUUCCCCAAAAGCCAGGGGAACAAGGGCAGGUUCUCAGAGUUGGUCCCUGGAUGCCCCUUGUGGAGACAGGCACAGAGAUAUACAGAACACCAAGAACACUAAAAACCCAGGCUCCCCUCCCUCAUCGUUCCCUGUGUUGCUGCAAAUGCUCCAUGCACUCGCCUCCCUUCCAGGUCCUGCCUGGGUGGUCCAGGGCCUCCUGUUGUGUUAAGCCUUCCAGCUGCUAUAAAGCAAUCUAAAUUCAUAAAAGUUUUCUUUCCGUUUUCAAUUAACUUUGUUGCCUACUUAUACCAGUUUAUUUAAAAGAGCAUUUGUGGUCUCAGGAAAACAGAACUCAGAUAUAAGUUUUUCAAAUUUUAUAUAAAUUUGGAAAUGUAAAGACUUAGGCUUAGCUAUUGUUGCUUUUUAUGUAAUAUUGGCACUUACUUAUAUAGAUAUUUGCCAAUUUCUCUCCCUUUCCUCCUCACAAAAAUUAGAAGAUAUGUUUAGAAUUAGCUGUGAACACAGUUCAAUGUGCUGUGGUAAAGAGUCCCUGCAUGCCCCUCUCUGCCUGGGCUGCCCCUGCCUCCUCUCUAGGACCAUCUAUACCUCCCUAUUCUGCAGACAGCUAAAGCCCUCUGGGCCAACUCCAGCACUGCAGACAGCGUCCAUUCUUAGAGGUUAUAGACUGUGCCAUUCUGGUGGUUAGAAGUUUUGAACAACAUUCAUGCUGAUCUGUACAACAUUCAU